ensembl:snRNA U6 U6 spliceosomal RNA
GUGCUCACUUCAGCAGCACAUAUACUAAAACUGGAAUGAUACAGAGAAAACUGGCCUGGCCCUUGUGCAAGGAUGAUACACAAAUUCAUGAAGCGUUCCAUGUUUUU